AUUUAUUUAUUUGUUUAUAGAUCAAUAAACUGGUCUUUCAACCCAAUAACAUAUCAAUCUGUCACAAUAAAAAUAGGUAAAAAUGAUA